AAGAACCACCGAUUCUAGCAAUAAAUAAUCAACCCAUAAUAUAUCCAAUUUGCAUUCUUGAUUACAGGAUCGUGGAAAAAGCAAAAAAACUUACAAAGCAGCUACUAGUUCAGUGGAGUGGAACGUGGCCAGAGGAUUCUUCUUGGGUUGAUGCUGUCGUGUUGAAGCGCUUGUACCCUGGUUUGCAGUUCGAGGACGAACUGGUUAGUGACGGGGCCACGGAUGAUGCAGUCCAGCAAAUUGAUUUCCGGGAGAUUGAGGACGACGUGCGCCGGAUAACAAUGGAAGGGAACUCGGACGCACUUGAGGAAGAAGACGCACCAGAGGAAGACACGCCUGAGGAAGAGGAACCGGACGUGCCAUCUGAGGAAGACCCGAGUCGUCCUGCACCGGACCGCGUCAGUGGCGUACGCGAGCCGUCGAACCGGGAGGGGAAACGACCGACGUGGAUGAAGGAUUACCAGGUCAAUUUCAAGGGUGGCUAAGCCAAUCUGAUCGAAC
rnacentral:lncRNA from 1 species